rnacentral:rRNA from 1 species
AUCUACGGCCAUACCACCUGAAUGUGCCCAAUCUUUUCUGAUCUUGGAAGAUAAGCAGGGUCAGCCCUUGUUAGUAACUGGAUUUAAGAUGUAGAAUAGACAGUUAGGAAUACAAAUAUGGGCUGUGGAGA